CAAAUUGAGAGUUUGAUCCUGGCUCAGGAUGAACGCUGGCGGCGUGCCUAAUACAUGCAAGUCGAACGCUUUGUGGUUCAACUGAUUUGAAGAGCUUGCUCAGAUAUGACGAUGGACAUUGCAAAGAGUGGCGAACGGGUGAGUAACACGUGGGAAACCUACCUCUUAGCAGGGGAUAACAUUUGGAAACAGAUGCUAAUACCGUAUAACAAUGACAACCGCAUGGUUGUUAUUUAAAAGAUGGUUCUGCUAUCACUAAGAGAUGGUCCCGCGGUGCAUUAGCUAGUUGGUAAGGUAAUGGCUUACCAAGGCGAUGAUGCAUAGCCGAGUUGAGAGACUGAUCGGCCACAAUGGGACUGAGACACGGCCCAUACUCCUACGGGAGGCAGCAGUAGGGAAUCUUCCACAAUGGGCGAAAGCCUGAUGGAGCAACGCCGCGUGUGUGAUGAAGGGUUUCGGCUCGUAAAACACUGUUGUAAGAGAAGAAUGACAUUGAGAGUAACUGUUCAAUGUGUGACGGUAUCUUACCAGAAAGGAACGGCUAAAUACGUGCCAGCAGCCGCGGUAAUACGUAUGUUCCAAGCGUUAUCCGGAUUUAUUGGGCGUAAAGCGAGCGCAGACGGUUAUUUAAGUCUGAAGUGAAAGCCCUCAGCUCAACUGAGGAAUUGCUUUGGAAACUGGAUGACUUGAGUGCAGUAGAGGAAAGUGGAACUCCAUGUGUAGCGGUGAAAUGCGUAGAUAUAUGGAAGAACACCAGUGGCGAAGGCGGCUUUCUGGACUGUAACUGACGUUGAGGCUCGAAAGUGUGGGUAGCAAACAGGAUUAGAUACCCUGGUAGUCCACACCGUAAACGAUGAGUGCUAGGUGUUUGAGGGUUUCCGCCCUUAAGUGCCGCAGCUAACGCAUUAAGCACUCCGCCUGGGGAGUACGACCGCAAGGUUGAAACUCAAAGGAAUUGACGGGGACCCGCACAAGCGGUGGAGCAUGUGGUUUAAUUCGAAGCAACGCGAAGAACCUUACCAGGUCUUGACAUCCCUUGACAACUCCAGAGAUGGAGCGUUCCCUUCGGGGACAAGGUGACAGGUGGUGCAUGGUUGUCGUCAGCUCGUGUCGUGAGAUGUUGGGUUAAGUCCCGCAACGAGCGCAACCCUUAUUACUAGUUGCCAGCAUUUAGUUGGGCACUCUAGUGAGACUGCCGGUGACAAACCGGAGGAAGGUGGGGAUGACGUCAAAUCAUCAUGCCCCUUAUGACCUGGGCUACACACGUGCUACAAUGGCGUAUACAACGAGUUGCCAACCCGCGAGGGUGAGCUAAUCUCUUAAAGUACGUCUCAGUUCGGAUUGUAGGCUGCAACUCGCCUACAUGAAGUCGGAAUCGCUAGUAAUCGCGGAUCAGCACGCCGCGGUGAAUACGUUCCCGGGUCUUGUACACACCGCCCGUCACACCAUGAGAGUUUGUAACACCCAAAGCCGGUGGGGUAACCUUCGGGAGCCAGCCGUCUAAGGUGGGACAGAUGAUUAGGGUGAAGUCGUAACAAGGUAGCCGUAGGAGAACCUGCGGCUGGAUCACCUCCUUU
rnacentral:rRNA from 2 species